rnacentral:sRNA from 1 species
GCUUUGAUCACCACCUUGCCAGCUACUGUGCGGUAAAAUGACUGAAGCAACUGCCUCAAACUCCGGCUGCCCGGAUUUGGAGCCUGGCACCGUCGCCCCUGCCGCCGGCGUCUCCUUCUUCUCCUCCACCUCCCAUAUUGCUACUCUGCAGUCCUCCCCACUUAACCGCCUUGCAAUACCCUCACUUCAUCGGAGAACUUGUUUACGCAAAAGCAACAGGCCUGGGCCGAAGUUGGGGCUGGGAUCCCAUGAAAUGAGCACUAAGGCUUUGUUUAAAAUUACGAUACGUUGAAAAAUGAGUUGUUUAGAGCAGAGAUUCACAUUGAGUUUCAUGGAAGAACACCACGUAUGGGUGGGAGGCCCUUUUCCUAGGCAGGGCAGUAGCAUUUGGCAUUCGGAAACUGACAGUGAUGAGUGAAAGAGCGUCAGGGAAAAGACUCCUGCCCCACAGAUUCAUCUGUGGGUGGAAGAGAACUUAAAUUAGAACGAAGGAAAAAAGAGCAUGCCAUAUUCCAUAAACUUUAGACACGAACGAGGGGCAGUUUUUGUUUGGUUAUCAUGCGCAUACAACAUCCAAAAAUGGCAAUAAAAACAAACGAUUCCAGCAAAUUUUUGACCAUUUUUGGCGAUGACAAAAGGCGACGAAUGCGAAUCGGCGGACCAAAGCCGAAGUUUGCAACAAGGUAAGCGUCUAUAUAGUAUAUAUCUAUAUAUCUGUGGCAUGUACUUGAUCGAAUGCGAUGCGGGCUGACGUCAGGGAUCGGAUCGGAUCGGUCGGACUUAUCAGGCAAAUAAAUACACACACUGCCAACAGCCCAGGCCACAGCAAUUGAUUUUGAUUAAGUUAUCACGGCGGCGUCGCCAGUUGCGUAAAAAUUCGAUCGCAUCGGAUUGGACUGGGAUUGGAAACGUGACCCAGAGAAGGUGACUGGCCCAGCCAUAAAAGGAAGCUGGCCUGUCACUGUCACUUUUUAAGUGGUUUUUGUUUUCGGAUCUUAUCGCUGGCAUGUUGCAGUUGCAAUUGGUGUUGCAUUAGUUGAUUUCUCGUUGAGCUGCCGGCGGGUCGAAAAACCGGGUGAUUAUCGUACAAGCUGCCUCUCCUGCCUAUCUAAUCGCCCACAUCCUAUGCCUCGAAACUGUGUUUUUUCGCGGUUUUAUACCCUAGACUAAGGGUACUAAGAUUCUGAGUAGAACUUGAUGGAAUUCGUCCCCAAUAAACUUUAUUGCUUCAGUCUUUGGGAGCUUAGUCUUUUGAAGAAUUGCAUCCAAUGAUCUUUAACGAUUCUAAGUUAUCAAGACUAACUAUGCAAACUAUAGCUUUAAUGGGAAUCCAAUAUUUCGACGUCCGAUUUUCUUCAGGUUUCGAGUGUUUCGGCGGGUGAGUCAUCGCGAUCGUAUUCAUAUAUUCGUCUUCGUACUCGUAUGGCUGCUUUCCAGUUGUGCCGCCGCCGCUGCUGCCCUCGUAUUUGUUUUAUCAAUGAUUCAUAUUCAACAUACCUAUAGGUAUGUCGCCGCUGAAGAUGUGUAACACUAACACAGAUACUUUUUCGUCGCUUUCACAUACCGCUGCCACUGCUGGCUUGGGGGUCACAGAUGUGCUGGCCCACAAUCGCAUGCAAAUGUUGCGAUUUGUUGGCACUUCGAACUUGUGCGCCCCAUUUCCCCAAAGACAACACCCACCCAACCCACACAGCCCCACUCACACACACACUCGCAC